CGAAAAAAUUAAUUGUUUAAUUUAAAAUAUUUUAGUAAUUUACUUUUCAUUGAAACUUUGGCUAUUUUUACUAGAAAAAGCUGUUAAAUUUUUUCUGAUACUUUAUACCAUAAGGAUUUACAUUCCUGUUUAGUUUUGAGUAGAAAAAGCUCUGGUGGUCAGACUAAAAUUUUUGGAUUAGGUUUUAUUCUUAGUGUGACCACACCAUACAUGGC
rnacentral:lncRNA from 1 species